rnacentral:rRNA from 1 species
GACGAACGCUGGCGGCGUGCUUAACACAUGCAAGUCGAACGGAAAGACCCUGCUUUUGUGGGGUGCUCGAGUGGCGAACGGGUGAGUAACACGUGAGUAACCUGCCCUUGACUUUGGGAUAACUUCAGGAAACUGGGGCUAAUACCGGAUAGGAGCUCCUGCUGCAUGGUGGGGGUUGGAAAGUUUCGGCGGUUGGGGAUGGACUCGCGGCUUAUCAGCUUGUUGGUGGGGUAGUGGCUUACCAAGGCUUUGACGGGUAGCCGGCCUGAGGGGGUGACCGGCCACAUUGGGACUGAGAUACGGCCCAGACUCCUACGGGAGGCAGCAGUGGGGAAUAUUGCACAAUGGGCGGAAGCCUGAUGCAGCAACGCCGCGUGCGGGAUGACGGCCUUCGGGUUGUAAACCGCUUUCGCCUGUGACGAAGCGUGAGUGACGGUAAUGGGUAAAGAAGCACCGGCUAACUACGUG